ACUGAAGUCUGGGACAAUUCUACCUGAAGUCGGCCAGGACAGGAUCUGGAGCUGAAUCUUCAGAACUGUUUGGUGUCAGAGAUCAUUCACCCAGAAUGAGAACACAUUCAGCUGAACUGGAAGCCAUGACAGACAUCUGCUGUGGAUGCUGUUUUACUGGUACCUGUGAAAUGAUAACCUGAUUGUCACAACCAUAGGCUACAUUGCAUUUCUCAGGGGUUAGGAGCAGAAACGCACAACUUGAGAUUUAUUAUUCCAUGUGGAUUUGGACAGAAGACGAAUCUUUCCUGGGACACAAACAUAGUCAUAAAGGGAACCAUCUGGAGUCAGCACACCUCGUUUACCUCACCUGCUCUGAAAGGCUGGCAUUGAUUAGAGAAUGUUAGAAUUGGUUUGCAAUAUAUAUUAAAACAAAUCAGUAGGACCAGAUGACAUUCUUCUAACGAGUCCAAAGAAGCCCAGAUAUAAAAUUUCUGAAUUACAUGUCUUACAAUUACUUUCUCACUCUUAUGCCAUCUACUGUAAAAGGGAACAAUGAUAACAUGAUUUAAAAAAAAAAAAAAAAGAAGAAGACUUCAAAUAAAUAGGAUCACAAACUGAGGAAUAUGACUUUCAGUCCAGGUCUAUUAGUAGACAUUUUAUUAAUAAUCAAGCAAAUAAACAUAAUAUAAUUGAGGAGAUUAAACCUCUGAAGAGCAAAUUUAUGCCCCCCAGAUUUGAAAGGUGUGAGCUCUUCCAAGGAGUCUGUAAUCAUGUGGAAAGAAGGUUUCCCAAAUAACAGUCUUGGAUUUUCAAGAGCUGUUACAAUGUUUUUCAAAGAAACUAAGCUCUCCUGUGGAAAAGUAGUAAGUUGUCUUGUGGAUCAGUACUGGGUGGAAAAGCAAGUAAAAAAUUACAGCAAUAAAGGCUCAUUUUCCAAAAAGAAAAAGAGAGGAUUUUUAGGGGAGUCCCAUAUGGAACUGUCUCAGGGAUCAAGCAUAUUCUUAAGUAGUCCACAAAAGAGACUGAAAUAUUACACAAAAAAAAUGCAAAUAGUACAAAAAUAGCCUCAGUGAUCAAAAUUAAAAUUGACCAUAGUGUUCUGAAAAAAAACCCCAAACAUUUUGUAAUAUUGAGUAGCAGAUUAAUAAAAUGGAAAAUAAAAUGCAU